UUGCAAUGCUUCUAGGUGAUGCAGGGUUACCGUCAGGUGGGACCGCAUGCUUGUUUACUCUUGAGGUACGACACGGCUCACGGCCGUGCAAGGCUUCGCUCCGGUCAAGUUCGCCUACCUGCCUAGUUUAGAUAUAGGCAGUUAGGGCUAAACAGGAAAAACAUUACUGCCUUAUUAAGUUUGAAAGGUGUAACAAUCGCGAAUUAUUUUAUAUAGAAUUUUAGUUACAGGAAAAUUUUCACAUCUUUAAAGUACCUGUUUUGCUAUUCUUUGACCUAGGUUAUUUAGGCUUAGAAAUUUUAUUGUUCCUAAAUUUUAUAAAUUCUGAUAAAAUUUCACUAUCAUAACAAUUAAUUGUAUGUAAUCGAUAAUUCAAAUAAGUUAUUUUACAUUUACUAAUUUUUUCCGCAAAAAAUAUCAAAAUUUUAAAUUUGUUUUAGAAUUGUUUUAAAAGAGAGAUGAUGAACACCCGAUUAUAAUCAACUUGAACGUUAUUAAAUUGAUAACGUAUAUUUGUAUGCAACACAUGCGCUACCACGUCCUCUAGUUUGUUUCGACAUAUCGUGAAUUUAACAAUGGCCGUCCUCAACUGACAUAAAAUAAAAAUAAACCAUUUAGAUAAAC